UUCGUUGGGAAGGCACAGGCACAUCGUCUCCUCCCACUAGCUAGUCAUCCUCGCUGGUGCUUGCACUCAGGGAGGCCGCUGCUCCCUCUCUUCCAUUGAGGAUCAUGCAUGAAGACAUCGAUGCUCAUGUUAACAAUCGUCCUCCUAGUGCUCUUGUCAGGUUAUUCAUAUAUGUUCGCGAUGGCUCCGUAUGUGGUCUAUCUUGCAGAGGCCGGAGGACAGAGACCUUUUAUGAUGGCUUCUACUCGGCUGGAGUGUUCGGCCAGGGAGAUUUUUUACCCCCAUGGAUGGCGGUGUGAUCUUUGGUUAGGAUCGGCCUCUAUAGGAAUUUUUAUUUUUCUCUUGUUCUGGCUGUUUUGCCACUUUAUUUCUGUUUAUAGUAUUUCAAACUUUUGGCUGUGUGCAUCUAGCUAUGCAGAGGCCGGGUGAUCUUUGAUGUGGUUGUAUCAACUCGAUAUUUUAAUUCAAUGAAAAGCCCUUUAUC